GGGUCGAUAUCCAAGUCUGAUCAAGGAAGCCGUCUGUAAAACGGUUGCGCAAGCAUCGUUGGUUCAAAUCCAACUCGACCCACCA
rnacentral:tRNA from 8 species